rnacentral:lncRNA from 1 species
GCUCCAGAUCCAGACAAUCCUUGGUCGGAUGGUGCCGAGAUGAGACUUGAUGGCUGUGCAAACCCAGAGAGUAAGCCUGGGCACCGAGGAGUGAGGACACAGAAACAGAACCAUUGCUGCAAGUGCAGCUCUUCCUUAGAACCAGAAAGUAACUUGAAUGACCUAUGCGACAACAAAGCUGGUCUGGGCAGUCAUCGUGAGAAAGUGGAAUAAAACGCUGGACACUCUCUGACAAACCCCCCCUGGGGUUGCCCUGGGGCGUGCAUCUGUUUGCUGUUACCUUGGGAUGGGAGAAGAUUGUCCUUCUGCGAAUCCAGUUCCAGAUUGCCUCUUCCCACCUUUCACCUCCUUCACAGACUCAACCUGGAGCUUCACCUGGCUUUGAUUUUUCCCAUCCUGUGGAUACUGGUCCUUGGAAGUUGGAGUUUCAGGAAACCUUAAAAUGUUUAAUAACAAGCCCGAUGUUUUUUGAUGGCUCCUUCUGUGCUGUACAUGGCUCUGUUCCAAAUCUUAGGCUUCGGAUGAGGCAAGGAAAGGCAGAAUGUUUGGGGAUCCUGUUACCAAGAGCUAUGAAAUAAGAGUAGACGAAAGAGCUGCGAGAUGCUCUGACGGUCACCGUGCUUUAGCUUCUGCACACACAAACCCCAGCUCCCCUUCUCCAUAUGUUGACAGACGCAGAAGCCUGCUGCUUCUCCGUCUUGUUCCCUUUGAAAUGCAUUGAGAUUUAGUCAGGUCUUGCCUCAGUUCCUUUCCCUGUAAAGAUUUACCUCAGUUUCCAUCUCUGUAGAAUGAGCUGGACCUCGGAGGUCUUUUCUACCCAGUCUUCUUUGUAAGUUGUAAAUGGCGUAAGGGACAGCAGUCUCUAUGUGGUUAGUGAUGAGGCUGAGGCCCUCAUCACUCAGCGGCUCCUGCUAGAAAAAGCCCGGGAACUCCAGGAUAGUUCUGGAAAGAAGAGCUACUGAGCUCUGUAUACUUUCAAGCAGGCCCUCUCUGAUAUUCCACAAUCUUUAUUAUCUCUUUUCCCUAGGACAGUUACCACCGUGUUCAUCAGACUAUAUUCAUAUACAGUUGUAUUCUAUAAACCCUGAUUCGAUACUGAUGCUAUCUCACCAAUGAGGGUGCCUUCUGGUCUGCUGGAAUUGUUAGGACUAGGUGACAUUGACCCUAUUCUUUAAGGAGUGGGCACUGUUAUCUAGGCAGCCCUAGGAAACUAGGAAGUGAAUGCUAAUGUGGGUUCUGUGUUCAUUGUGGACACUAACAACAUCUGGCUGAAAUAAUGGUUUGAUUUGGGGCUUGGUAAGAGACUGUGAGCUUAUUUGCUCCCAUUCCAUUUUGACCUUAAGUUGUUCUAAGCUUGAUGACCCAACUGGUAAUUGCCAAGUAACACCAGAUGUUCCCUGUGGCUACCUGUUCCUGUUGUGGCUACCUGUGAACCUGCUAAUUUAUUUUUCUGACAGCUUUUGUUUGUUUGUUUGUAGUAUGUGUGUAUUGCAUGUAUGUAUGUAUGGAUGGAUGGAUGGAUAUUUAUGUACCUGGUGCCUUCAGAGGUCAGAUUCCCCAGGACUGGAAUUCCUCAGACAGUUGUGAAUCAUCAUGUAGGUGCUAGGAAUUGAACCCUGGUCCUUUGGAAGAGCACUCAGUGCUCUGAGCCAUAAAGCCACCUCUCCAGCUUCUGUUUAUCUUGCCUUUAGUCCUGCUCUUAUCUUUGAUUUCUCAUCUACUUAUUUUGAUAGUUAACUCAGGAAAGACCUUCCUUCUCUAUUCCUCUUUGGUUACCAAUAUGAUUAAUUAUUAUAAUCCUGGCCUAUAAGCUUUAUUUUGGGAACACUUCUGAAAAGAAAGACAUUUGGGGAUGGACAAUGUGGUGCCCUAAAGAAAAAGAAAUUAUGUCAUUUGCUGGAAAAUGGAUUCAGUUAGAGAUUGUCAUAUUAAGUGAAAUAAAGCCAAACUUAGAAAU